UUCCGGGAUCUUCUCUAUCCCAUGUUUAGUCAUGAAAUGUUCCCUUAUCCAUAAAUCUGAAAUGUUAAUCUCUUCCUUGUCCUGUUAAUUUGUUCACAUUGUCAAUCCUUUAUGUCUAAGUCAUGUCCCAUGGAAACUUAUCUUGAUAUACAGUGGGAAAUGUUGGUCAUAAUGCUUUCCAGUUUUCCCAGAAUGCUACUCUACCUGCCUUUGAACCACACAAGGAUAUUCCAAGUUAUGUGUGAGGGUCACUUCCUAGCCACAUAUGGGGUCUAACUCAUAGGAAGGCCCCAAUCUUCUGGUUUGUGGAGUUAGGAACUAUGGGACCUAGAGAACUGGGCACUGGAGAAAUCCAUGGCAGACCUCUGAAAAUCAGCCACCGUGCCCAGCCAUGUUACACAUCAUGAGAGACUGGCACCUUAAACGAAGACUGAAUUUGCAGUUGUAUUUAGUGAUUCUCCAUGAACACAGCCCCUCCACUGUCCAGUAGAAGCCUUGUCUUGUGAUAAUCACAUAUAGUCCAGCAAGUCAAAUCAGUACAUUGACUUUGGACUCCGGCAUUCUUGGGGGAUAGUCUGGCCUUCUCACAUGAGACCAAAAAGCAGCUGAAGAUGCAAGCUCACCCCAUGACCUUGAACAAUCUGGAAGAACCCCCGCUUCCCGGUAAGCUGCCUCCCUCCAAAGUCAUUUUCAGUUUAGAUUAUACAGGACUUCUGAACUUGUGUUAACAACUUAAUGGAAAAUCCUCGAGUAGAAGCAUGGUAUUUUCUGUGGCUCUGUAUCUUUCACCAGACCAAGCACAACCCUUGUUCAUAAGAUCAAAUGAGAUAAUAUGUAUAAAGAGUAAAGUAUCUAUAAAUGAACAAAUAUGA